rnacentral:rRNA from 1 species
GACGAACGCUGGCGGCGCGCUUAACACAUGCAAGUCGAACGGAAAGGCCUGCUUUCCCCUGUGGAUUGCGGGUACUCGAGUGGCGAACGGGUGAGUAACACGUGAGUGAUCUGCCCCCAACUUGGGUAUAAGCCUGGGAAACUGGGUCUAAUUCCCGAUAGGACUGCAGGGUGGUGCCUGUGGUGGAAAACGAUUUUCUAGUGGUUGGGGAUGAGCUCGCGGCCUAUCAGCUUGUUGGUGGGGUAAUGGCCUACCAAGGCGGCGACGGGUAGCCGGCCUGAGAGGGUGGACGGCCACAUUGGGACUGAGAUACGGCCCAGACUCCUACGGGAGGCAGCAGUGGGGAAUAUUGCACAAUGGGCGGAAGCCUGAUGCAGCGACGCCGCGUGGGGGAUGACGGCCUUCGGGUUGUAAACUCCUUUCGACCGCGAGGAAGCCACCUGGUUGGAAGGGUGGUGACGGUAGUGGUAGAAGAAGCACCGGCUAACUACGUG